rnacentral:rRNA from 1 species
GACGAACGCUGGCGGCGUGCCUAACACAUGCAAGUCGAACGGAGUUACUUAGGACGGAGGAUUCGUCCAAAGAUCUUUGUAACUUAGUGGCGAACGGGUGAGUAACGCGUGAGCAAUCUGCCUCGGAGUGGGGGACAACAGUUGGAAACGACUGCUAAUACCGCAUAAUGUGCCGGUGGGGCAUCCCGCUGGUACCAAAGCUUUAUGUGCUCUGAGAUGAGCUCGCGUCUGAUUAGAUAGUUGGUGGGGUAACGGCCUACCAAGUCGACGAUCAGUAGCCGGACUGAGAGGUUGAACGGCCACAUUGGGACUGAGAUACGGCCCAGACUCCUACGGGAGGCAGCAGUGGGGAAUAUUGGGCAAUGGAGGCAACUCUGACCCAGCCAUGCCGCGUGAGUGAGAAGGUUUUCGAAUUGUAAAGCUCUUUCGGGUGUGAAGACAGUGACGGUAGCUAAGGAAUAAGCAUCGGCUAACUACGUGCCAGCAGCCGACGG